GAUCUUUUGGGCUGGGUCCUAACUUGUAUUUUGUUAAAUGCUCGCUGUACUGCUCUUGUUGCUCCCUCCAACUUAAUGACUACUAUUACAUUAAUUGCAAGCAUAACUUAGCACCAGCAGAGAACCUCCUCUUUGUCUUCCUUCUGGGUUAGAACAAAACAAAUUUGAAGAGGAAUAGUCCCUGAAAAUUUGUUCCUCUAGAACUCCAAGUUGAUCCAUACCAAUUCUGUCUAAGAGACAGCAAGAGACUAUAAACACUUCCAGAAGCUCUUCCGUGGUCAUGGCUGAGGCAGCUUUACCUGCAGCCCUGGAAAGGGCUCCAGGGGCCCUUGACUGAGGACAGGGAUCAGUGCUCAGGGAAAAGAACCAAAGGGAUCAAGGCAAAGGCUGAGAGGGCAGAGCUGCCACAGCGUGGCACAGAAAGAGCCUCAUCAUUUUUUUGCUUCAUUUUUUGCUGUGAGGGAAUGAAACCAAAGAAAUUGGUCUCAGCAUACCUUCUGGGACUGCAGAGAUCCCCACACGUCAAACCCUGAGUGAAACUUUACCCUUACUAAUUAGACUAAUCUUGCAUGCAUCCCUCACUUACAAACUGUCUGAAAACUGAGGCAAAGGCUUAGGGAUGCCAGAUAUGAGUAAUGGCCUCAUUCUAGUGACUGCAUCUCUUUGCACUUGGCAAACUUGCAGAAUUAUUCCAGACAACUUUAAAGAAUGAAACAGAUUUUGUCUCUCCUAUUUCCUUGCACGAAAUCCAUGAUGUUUCAGUUUGUUCAGUGUCUUUUCUUUAUGGUAAGGACAAGAGUGCACCUAGUCAACAGCACAUUGCUAUGGCAUUUUUGCAACAGGUAAAAAUAUUCCUGUAUUCUGCUCACAGUUUCUCGAGAAGAAAGAAAAUCAGAAAAAACAGAGGUUUUCAGAGGUGUUAAGAGGAAAAACAAAUUUGUGAGAAUACAAACUCUGUCUUAUCACUUGAUUGUACAUGGGUUUUGCCAGUCCAUCUGCUUAGAGAAAGAUUCACUUUGGGAGGUGGUUUUCAAAAGUAUCGCUUGGAAUUGAGUGGCACAAUGUCACAAUGCAUCCCCCUGUGAUAUCACAACCCACUGCUCUCUGACACCAGCCUCCAAGCCCUGUGACAGCACAAAAGGCAUUGAAACUCCUUGGAACCCCAAGAUAAGCAGGGAGAGAAGGUGAGGUCACAAUCCAGCAAUGCCUGAUGUCACCAUCCACAGGUUGGUGACAUCAGAGUCCUCUACCCUGUUGUCAGAGAUGAGGUAAUAUUUUGCUGAACCCAAAAGGUUAUUAGGUUAAAAAAUGAAAGUUGUUGGUUCUGUGUGUUGUCAUUUCUGGUUUGGAUUUGCUCCAGUUAAUUUGUUGGGUGUUGCUGUGAGCUGGGAAAACAGCCAGGUUAAAGACCUGACCAAAAAGGAAAUAGGAUCAGAGGAAUGGGGACAGAAAAGUAGGUGGUGAGGAGAGAAUAGAAAUUCCCAAGUACCCAGGCAAUGGGAGAGGGGACAGGCAUUGCCCCUGGCCAGGAAAGGGGAUAAAAUGUAAUGCUUUUUUGGAGUGUGUGUGUGUUUGGCUCUUGGGGGAAAGAGGGCAUACCUGCAGCUCAGGUGAAUUGUUACUAAUAAACAGACUUCUUUUGCCUCCACAACUUUGUCUCUCUCAUUUAAUUGUAUCUAAAGUUUAUUUCUAACACUAUGAUGACACAGCAGGCCUUCCAUCCCUGCAAGCCCAUGUUGUCAGAGAACAAAGGAAAUCCUGUUUCCUAAUUUCAAUUUCUACAUCUCCAUGAUGCUCUCCCUCACCACCUGCAUCACAUCUCCCUGGCCCUGUCUCUAAUGCCUGCUCCUGACACCUUGCCAUGGCUUCCUGGGAACAGUCCUGGUCUCUACUCACAGGGCCUCUGGUCUCUCUCCCUGGGAGAGGCCAUCACAUCCAGGCCUUCCAGGCCAGGCCCUGUACAAGGUUUUGUCCCUUUUGGUUUAAAGGUCAGAGUUUGUCCUCUCUGCAGCCCUGCUGGAUCGAGGGUGAUGGGCACAAGGACACUUUGCAGCUGUGUUUAGGGCUGUGGGACUGUUCAGCCUUGCUUGUUCAGUAGAAUGGAUCCUGUCCGGGGGGCCCCAAAUCCAGGAAGGAAUUCCGUCUGCCUUUUGUUUUGGCAGCAGUUCUUUCAUUUGCUCAAUGACAAGGCCAGGCCUCCAUCCUGGGAGCACUCCUGAGGUGACAAGGACACACUGCAAAUGACAACAUGUGGGCCCCUGAAGAAAGGAUAUCUGCAAAUACACAGAUGGUGCCCUAGGGGUGCAGCUCGACUUUUCUCCUCCUGCCUGUGCUGAGUUGUCCUCCCCACCUGAAUCCUGAAGCUUGGGAAGGGCACUGUGCCAGCAAGGUGCAGUCUGACAUUUCACUGCUGACCAAACAAGGGCCCCUUCCCAUUGUUCAAGCUGCACAACUGUGGGAAGAAAGGAAAAUGUGUGUGAAUCAGGGCAGCCAGGCUGCCAGAAGGGUUUCAUGGGCCUCCCUGUGUUGUUGUGGGACGCCUCAUGGGAAGUGACCAAGUGAGAGACAGCUGGAAGCUCGGCUGGAGGAGAAGGCUGGGAUUUUUCAAAGAUUGGGAUGUUGCAGUUAAAUGUCCCAAUUCAAGGCUGCUGCUGAUCUCAAACUGGGAGGGGCUGUUGACUCAGUUGAGGGACAAGACGCCAUGCAGAGAGAUCCAGAGAGACUGGAGCCUUGGAUUUCCUGUGGGAAAAGUGCCUGCGAGGACUGGAUUUUCUUCACUCCAACCAUGUCAUCCACCAAGAUCUGAAGAGCAGCAACAUCCUUCUCAGAACCGACGGCUCUGUCAAGCUGGGUCAGUGUAAUCUUGGUCAGGUGCAGCAUUCCAAGGAUGUGGGUGUGAGGCUGCUUGGAGUGACUGCCAGCUCCCCAGAAAUGGUGCUGGUGACAGAGCAGGGACCCCUCUGUGAGCUGGUGACAUGGUUGCAAUGUGCACAGAGCUAUGACAAGGAACCACAAGCAGUCAACAGUGGCAUUGGUUUGUGUGUGUCCUUUCAAGAGGGAGGGAGCUACAAGUCUAAAGCUUCAGAUAAAAAGGCCACUGCUGGAGGUAGUGUAAAAAAAUGAUGAGGUUUUUUUGAAGUGGACAAUUCCUUAUUUCCUUAGCUAAAGCCCUGAGGAAAUAGAGUAGGGACGGAUUUCCAGCAGAUGACACAGUGCAUUCUUAGACUGAGAGUGGGGAAUUCUUUUCCUUGCUUUCCUAAUUGGAGCUGGCUUUGAUGGUUUGUUGUUUCCUCCACAGCUGACUUUGGCCUCUUUGCUCAGCUCCCCCCUGAGCAGAGUAGACAGAGCUCCAUGGCCGGCACUUCUGGGUGGAUGGCGCCUGAAGUGGUGACAGGUCAACCAUAUGGCCCCAAAGUGGACAUAUGGUCUUUUGGAAUCGUGGGCAUUGAAAUGGUGGAACGAGAAGUUCCUUACUGGAAAGAAACUUCUGGCAUGGUAAGGAGCAAAUACUGACUGAUCCCUCUGUCUUUCUCACCUGUCCCGUGUUCUGUGUGCCAUUGGACAAAAUCCCAUUGCCAUCUGCUGGCACCACUUCCACCAAGGUCCCCUCCUAAAAAUGUCCCUGAAGCACAUCAGCAUCUGCUGUAGAUUUGGAUUUCCCUUUCCAUCAGAAGGGAAGUGGCAGUUCAGAAACCUAAGCAGUUCAGACACCUAACCAGCUCAGGAACCUGCCAUUUAGGCCUCCAGCCAUGCCUGACAUUUCUCAUUUGCUUUUUGAACAGUGUUGGAGCUCUGUCUCUGAAGGACAAAAAUUUUUCAGUGGAAUUGUUGGAUGUAUGAUAAAUAUCCUUCAAAAGGGAAGUUGAAUCGUCCUAGUUUCAAUUUUAUAGAACAAGAAAAAAGAAAAAUAAGAAAGGAAAUUGAAAAGUAAGAGAAAAAGGAAGAGAAAAUGGAUAAGAAAAAAAGGAAAAGUCAGAGAAGAAGGGAAAGGAAGAGGAAAAGGAAGAGAAAAUAAAAAGAAAUAAAGGAAAAGAAAAGGAAAAGGAAAAGGAAAAGGAAAAGGAAAAGGAAAAGGAAAAGGAAAAGAAAAAGAAAAAGAAAAAGAAAAAGAAAAAGAAAAAGAAAAAGAAAAAGAAAAAGAAAAAGAAAAAGAAAAAGAAAAAGAAAAAGAAAAAGAAAAAGAAAAAGAAAAAGAAAAAGAAAAAGAAAAAGAAAAAGAAAAAGAAAAAGAAAAAGAAAAAGAAAAAGAAACCACCAAAGCAAUGCCCAAGCAGUUCUGCUUGCUUUGCCCUUUAUUAAGCAAAGCACAUCAAUUUUCUUCCAUUCUGUAGCAUCUUUUCCAAAUCCUGUGGGUCUUCAAAACUUUCAGGCUUUCAAAUCAUCUGUACAUUGUUUAGUCAUGUGUGUGGGUGGCUUGGAUAAGUUUAGGAUGUGUUUUGCUCUGACUGCAGUUGGAAUUGUAUGCCAACCCUUGGCUGUUUCAUGUUACUUUAACAAGUUGCUGAGCUUGCAGCCAGGUGCCUGGGCUGGGAUCCACCGUGGGCAGUCGGCGCCGGUGCUGUGUUUCUUCAGCACAGGAGCAGGGCCAUCCCUGGGCUGCACAGUUCUAAUGGCAGUGAGGACUCCAGCUCCCCACCAUGUCCAGUGGCUGAGCUCAGCUGCAGAGGGACUGGAUAAAACCCUCUUUGUGACCUCUGGUGGCGUGGGAAAAGUGAAGGAAACUUUCCUCUGGGUUGAAGAAGAAAGUCUCUUUGGUCACCAUCUGUUUCAGUGCCACCAGCACAGAACUCUUACUAUUGUGUCAUGGUCGGAGGCUGGCACGAUGCCAGUGCCCCCAUGAAAAUAUACUUUCUCUAGUGGCUUCUGUGAGAUGUGAUCAGGAGCAGAGUAAAGCAGGCUCUAACUUAGGAGUAAAGGAAACAUUCUUUAUUAACUACAAUAUCUAAAAAGGAACAGACACAGAACUAAGAAUGAAAACCCUCUAAAUACAUUCCUCCUCUUGCCCCCAUUUCCUCCACAGCAUGAAAUAAUACCUUAGAAUUCCACCCAGUCACCAUUUUUCAGAUAAUCAGCUUUCAGUCCAUCACCACCCCUUCAAUAAUCAACUCUCAAGUCUGUCAGGGAGAGAGAAGUCCCCCCUUGCACCAUAGGCUUCCCCCAGAAACACAACUGAAACCUCUUAUGUUUUCAUGUCACUGGUGGCACUGCUCAGAGCACAUUUGCCCUCGUGACUUCUUCCCUCCAUGUUCAGUGCUCUCACCACUGCACAUGGACCAGGACUGCUUUUAGGGCUCCCCGUUUAAGGAUGCCCCACCCAGUUCCAAAAAAGCAGCAGUCUCUCAGCUUUUGGAACACCAGUCCCCUCCAGAUUUCACCCCCUGGGGCUGAGGGGCCUCGUGAAUAGAGAUUUUCCUCUUCACUAGAGACAGAGGGCAUUCCAUACCCUCCUCAGCCGUCUCUGUUCACACCAUUGCUUCACUGCACCACUCUCUUUGGCUUCAAGGCAUUACCUCCCCCUAAAUGCAGUCUCUGGAUCACAGGAAAAACAUGGGUUUGUCCAUGGCCAUACAAGAAAAAGGUCCAGCCCAGGGCCAGUCCAUCAUCUCUUAACCUAGGAUUCUUCUCACUUCUUCUGACUUUCUUCACGUGCACCAACUUCAUGUCCAACUUCUCUUGCUUCAUCUCUCUCUCCUCAUUCAAAUUCAGGAAGAUCAGUAUUUGUAAGGCUUCCAUUAUCCUAGAAAGGGGUUAAAAUCUUUGCCUCUGUCUGCCCAGAACUCCCACGGACUCUGGUUCCCAGUGCCGCAUCCCCCACUUCUGGCCGGCCGUGCUGCCAGCACAAUAUCAAACCUCAAGGCAUCACAGGCACUGACUCUCUCUCUCUCUGUCUCUCUCCCGGGGGGUGUUGGAGGGGGUCCGAUGCUUCUCAGGGCUCUUCCACCCUUCCAUCUUGCAAGACCUUCACCCCCCUCCUCUGCCCAAGGCUCCGGCCUACCUCACCCGGCCGCAUGGCUUCCCCUCCCCAGCCAGCCCCAGCUCUGACCUCCUUCACGGACCAGAACCAAGAGAGUGUUCUGCUGGGAGUUCUCUGAUUUUAACCCCCUGGGUUCUCAGAGGCAUCCACACCUUCAGUGGCCAAACCAGAUGCCAAUAUUCAAAUCCAAGCAGUGAUUGGUUUCACCACAACCUCCGAAAAUCUCACUUCCUUCUUAACCUGCAACACAGGCAUAUUCAUGGAGACUCCAAGGCCUCUUUUCAUUAUUUCUGUCUAUUUUAGAUCGAUUCCGCAUCUGCAUUUUUUUAAGAGGAGGAAAAAAAAACUUGAUGAUUUUUGUUUUAUGGCAGCUGUGCUCAAGGGACCAACAAACACAGCAAAGAUUCUUUUCAUGUAAUAAUCCUUGGAAAUAGUAUAGAUAGAGCAAACACCCCUUUCCAAAUUGCCUGCCAGGCAGGUGUGAAUCCUCAGAGAAACAAAACAUGCUUUUUGGUGAUGUAGUUCCCACUAACUAGGUCAGUCAAUGAAAUCAGCUGCCAAGGCAAGAUCUGCAGGUUGUUGGAAAAGCUGUGGCUGCAUCGGGGUUUGGGCUUUUGGUUGGUAAAGGAAAGUCAUCUCUGGGGCUCUGCCAGGGCAGAAACUGCCACUGCAGAAUGGAGCUUAAACGAUGGGCUCAGGCACAGCAAUUACAGGUGGGAAAGAAGCAGGUGGAAACUCGUGUUUCCUUUUUCGCAGCCUCAACUCCUGAUAGCCAUA